rnacentral:hammerhead_ribozyme from 1 species
GUACUGCUGAGGAGUCCCAUAAUAGGACGGAACGGCCGUUCAGUGC